AUUGAACGCUGGCGGCAGGCCUAACACAUGCAAGUCGAGCGGAUGAAGGGAGCUUGCUCCUGGAUUCAGCGGCGGACGGGUGAGUAAUGCCUAGGAAUCUGCCUAGUAGUGGGGGAUAACGUCCGGAAACGGGCGCUAAUACCGCAUACGUCCUGAGGGAGAAAGUGGGGGAUCUUCGGACCUCACGCUAUCAGAUGAGCCUAGGUCGGAUUAGCUAGUUGGUGGGGUAAAGGCCUACCAAGGCGACGAUCCGUAACUGGUCUGAGAGGAUGAUCAGUCACACUGGAACUGAGACACGGUCCAGACUCCUACGGGAGGCAGCAGUGGGGAAUAUUGGACAAUGGGCGAAAGCCUGAUCCAGCCAUGCCGCGUGUGUGAAGAAGGUCUUCGGAUUGUAAAGCACUUUAAGUUGGGAGGAAGGGCAGUAAGUUAAUACCCUGCUGUUUUGACGUUACCAACAGAAUAAGCACCGGCUAACUUCGUG
rnacentral:rRNA from 1 species